rnacentral:rRNA from 1 species
GACGGAGGGUGCUAGCGUUGUUCGGAAUUACUGGGCGUAAAGGGCGCGUAGGCGGCCGCUUGCGUCGGAUGUGAAAGCCCGGGGCUCAACCCCGGAACGGCAUCCGAUACGGGGCGGCUCGAGACCGGGAGAGGAGGGUGGAAUACCCAGUGUAGCGGUGAAAUGCGCAGAUAUCGGGAGGAACACCCGUAGCGAAGGCGGCACUCUGGGCCGGUACUGACGCUGAGGAGCGAAAGCGUGGGGAGCAAACAGG